CCUACGGGAGGCAGCAGUGGGGAAUAUUGGGCAAUGGGCGCAAGCCUGACCCAGCAACGCCGCGUGAAGGAAGAAGGCUCUCGGGUUGUAAACUUCUUUUCUCAGUGACGAAGCAAGUGACGGUACCUGAGGAAUAAGCCACGGCUAACUACGUGCCAGCAGCCGCGGCAAUACGUCGGUGGCAAGCGUUAUCCGGAUUUACUGGGUGUAAAGGGCGUGUAGGCGGGAAAGUAAGUCAGAUGUGAAAACCAUGGGCUCAACCUGUGGCCUGCAUUUGAAACUGUUUUUCUUGAGUACUGGAGAGGCAGACGGAAUUCGUGGUGUAGCGGUGAAAUGCGUAGAUAUUAGGAGGAACACC
rnacentral:rRNA from 1 species